GCGUCAAAGCGUAACCUUAACCCCCAAAAUACCAUUAAUUUUCAUGAACCCCUAAUUUAUAAUGAAUGACUCCAUACUUAUAUGGAAGACACCAUGCUAGGAUUAGUAACAAGAAUUUAUAAUUCUCCAAAAUGCAAAUAUAAACCAACAUGGAUAGACCAUUGGUAGUUACCGAACCUAAAUCUACUGCAAUAACACUUACAAGAAAACUCUGCAGUAAUUACUCGUUAACCUAACACUAGCGCAUUACAGGAAAGAUUAAAAAAAAGAGAAGGAAUUCGGCAAAUGACGGCCCCGCCUGUUUACCAAAAACAUCGCCUCUUGACUUAUAAUAAGAGGUCCAGCCUGCCCAGUGAAUCUUAAACGGCCGCGGUAUCCUAACCGCGCGAAGGUAGCAUAAUCACUUGUUCUUUAAAUGGGGACUCGUAUCAACGGCAUCACGAGGGCUUUACUGUCUCCUCUUUUUGAUCAGUGAAAUUGAUCUUCCCGUGAAGAAGCGGGAAUAUUUUUAUAAGACGAGAAGACCCCAUGGAGCUUUAAACCAAAUAGCAACUUAACCACUUAUCCCACAAUAAAUUUAAGCCCUGUUAUACGGUUUUUGGUUGGGGUGACCGCGGAGUAAAGCAUAUCCUCCACGACGGAAAGAACACAAUCUUUAUUUAAGAACCACAUUUCUAAAAAUUAGUAUACUAACGUUUACUGACCCGACAAUCGAUCAACGAACCAAGUUACCCUGGGGAUAACAGCGCAAUCUACUUCAAGAGCUCAUAUCGACAAGUAGGCUUACGACCUCGAUGUUGGAUCAGGGUAUCCCGGUGGUGCAGCCGCUACCGAAGGUUCGUUUGUUCAACGAUUAAAAC
rnacentral:rRNA from 1 species